rnacentral:rRNA from 1 species
AUUGAACGCUGGCGGCAGGCCUAACACAUGCAAGUCGAACGAGUGGCGGACGGGUGAGUAAUGUCUGGGCACCUGCAUGAUGGAGGGGGAUAACUACUGGAAACGGUAGCUACUACCGCAUACCAUCGGAUGUGCCCAGAGGGGAUUAGCUAGUCGGUGGGGUAACGGCGCACCUAGGCGACGCUCCCUAGCUGGUCUGAGAGGAUGACCAGCCACACUGGAACUGAGACACGGUCCAGACUCCUACGGGAGGCAGCAGUGGGGAAUAUUGCACAAUGGGCGCAAGCCUGAUGCAGCCAUGCCGCGUGUGUGAAGAAGGCCUUCGGGUUGUAAAGUACUUUCAGCGAGGAGGCGUUACUCGCAGAAGAAGCACCGGCUAACUCCGUGCCAGCAGCCGCGGUAAUUC